rnacentral:lncRNA from 1 species
GAAAGAUAUGAGUUAGAGAAUAUAUUAAGGAAAAUGUCAGGAGAUAGAUGCUAUAGGCACGUAUUUGGAUAUUUAAAAGAAACAAAUUUGAUAAAGAAAAUAUGAAAUCCGGGUAACUCAGGGAUACAAUAGUAAAUAUAAAGAUGCAUAAAGAAACCAGUAGGUGGGGGUAAUGCGCAUGUUUGUUUGCCAACCGCCAAUAAAACCAAAUAGAAGAAGAAGAAGAGACUCGGGUGUGAGAAAAGGAAAACACGUGAAAACAAAGGGGAUGAAGGCAAACCGAAUGAAAUAAAGGUUAUCAUUCGAUUCCAAACUCCGGGUGCAUUGAAUCCUUUAAAAAUUAGUGAUGCUGUGUAUAAACUAGUAGGCGGAAGGCGGGUCACUCCAGGCUGCUGCAGUCGUCGUCACUGUCGCUGCUAGUUGUAUCAUGAUCCAGGAUGACCGGGGAAGGACUCGGAGGAGGAAGACUGAACUGCUGGGGACCUGCAAUGUAGAAGAUCAUCGUUAAGCGUACAAUUUGGUGACAUGGGAGGCAAAAGCCAGCUUCUUCCCUCCUCUGCCAAGCCAGUUGAAUUUCAGCGCAAAGUGGUUGGUGAGGAUGUGGCGAAGGAUUCUUCGAACCGCGUCACCAGGAUUGCAGCCCCCAAGCGCACUAAGGUGUGCUGCCUGCAGGCUUGAUCAAGUUUUCCUGCCCAACACCUGCACCUGGAAAGCUGAAGGGUUGUGCACAAGGACUUUCAUGCACUUUGAUCUUUGGGUGCUCCUGGUUUGGGCUUUUUUCAGGUUCAUACGCGCUGCAUCAUAA